rnacentral:rRNA from 1 species
UGGGGAAUUUUGGACAAUGGGCGCAAGCCUGAUCCAGCCAUGCCGCGUGCGGGAAGAAGGCCUUCGGGUUGUAAACCGCUUUUGUCAGGGAAGAAAUCUUCUGAGUUAAUACCUCGGGAGGAUGACGGUACCUGCAGAAUAAGCACCGGCUAACUACGUGCCAGCAGCCGCGGUAAUACGUAGGGUGCAAGCGUUAAUCAGAAUUGCUGGGCGUAAAGCGUGCGCAGGCGGUUUUGUAAGACAGAGGUGAAAUCCCCGGGCUCAACCUGGGAACUGCCUUUGUGACUGCAAGGCUUGAGUGCGGCAGAGGGGGAUGGAAUUCCGCGUGUAGCAGUGAAAUGCGUAGAUAUGCGGAGGAACACCGAUGGCGAAGGCAAUCCCCUGGGCCUGCACUGACGCUCAUGCACGAAAGCGUGGGGAGCAAACAGGAUUAGAUACCCUGGUAGUCCACGCCCUAAACGAUGUCAACUGGUUGUUGGGAAGGUUCCUUCUCAGUAACGUAGCUAACGCGUGAAGUUGACCGCCUGGGGAGUACGGCCGCAAGGUUGAAACUUAAAUGAAUUGACGGGGU